rnacentral:rRNA from 1 species
UGAGGAAUAUUGGUCAAUGGGCGAGAGCCUGAACCAGCCAAGUCGCGUGAGGGAAGACGGUCCUAUGGAUUGUAAACCUCUUUUGUCGGGGAGCAAGGCCACUCACGAGUGAGUGGAAGGAGAGUAUCCGAAGAAAAGCAUCGGCUAACUCCGUGCCGGCAGCCGCGGUAAUACGGAGGAUGCGAGCGUUAUCCGGAUUUAUUGGGUUUAAAGGGUGCGUAGGCGGACUGUUAAGUCAGCGGUCAAAUGUCGGUGCUCAACGCCGGCCUGCCGUUGAAACUGGCGGUCUUGAGUGAGCGAGAAGUAUGCGGAAUGCGUGGUGUAGCGGUGAAAUGCAUAGAUAUCACGCAGAACUCCGAUUGCGAAGGCAGCAUACCGGCGCUCAACUGACGCUGAGGCACGAAAGCGUGGGGAUCGAACAGGAUUAGAUACC